GCAAGGAACUGGUGGCCCUCUCCAGCGACCUGCUGGACAGCCAGCUCGGCCUGCGCGAGAAACUGGCGGUGCGCCGCCACCUACUAUUGUGCCGCCACUGCCGGCGCUUCAUCCGCCAGAUGCGCCUGACCCAGGCGACCCUGCGCCGCCUGCCGGAAAACCGCGAAGCCGGCCUGGACCUGCUGGCCGCGCGGCUGGCCGAGCUGCGCCGGGAUCACUCGCGGCGCUGACGCUUUCCAUCAAUCUGUAGGAGCGGGCCCUGCCCGCGAUU
rnacentral:sRNA from 1 species